CUUUGAAGAAUCCGUCUUAAAUGACGUUAUGGCAAUAUCUUUGUACAGGACAACAUUCCUUGUAAGAAAUCAUGCAUCUGGACAGAACUUCUUUAUGGUGAUUGUCAGGUUUCUUGAGACCUUUGUCGGUUCUAUGUCUGCAGGUGUAGGAGUUGGAUUUGUUUCUACUCUAAUAUCCUU